GACUUUCGUAUUUUUAGUUUCUAAAAUAUUUUUUUUCCUUGUAGGUUGAUGAUACUUCAUCUACUCGUAGAGAUGAUGAUGCCGACCCUUGAUACAUAUUGUAGAUUGUGUACCUAGGAAUUUGACUUGUAUGUUUUUAGAAUGUUUUUGAAGUACAAUGUAAUCAAAUAUGAUAAUAUGAAUGUAAUCAAAGUUCUUGUUUGUGACUCGUAUUUUGUUAUAUAUGUGAUUCAGUGUAUUUGUUUCUAUUGUUUUGUUAGAAUUUAAUGUACACAAGGUAUUUAAAAAUUACUUU
rnacentral:lncRNA from 1 species